rnacentral:ncRNA from 1 species
CGACCCCAGGUCAGGCGGAUUACCCGCUGAGUUUAAGCAUAUCAAUAAGCGGAGGAAAAAAAACUUACAAGAUUCCCUAGUAACGGCGAGCGAACGGGAACAGCCCAGCCUUAGAAUCGGACGCCUUGCCGUUCGAAUUGUCUGGAGAAGCGUCCUCAGCGGCGGACCGGGCCCAAGUCCCCUGGAAAGGGGCGCCGGAGAGGGUGAGAGCCCCGUUGUGCCCGGACCCUGUCGCACCACGAGCGCUGUCUACGAGUCGGUUGUUUGGGAAUGCAGCCCCAAUCGGCGGUGAAUUCCGUCCAAGCUAAAUACGGGCGAGACCGAUAGCGAACAAGUACCGCGAGGAAAGAUGAAAAGGACUUUGAAAAGAGAGUCAAAGAGUGCUUGAAAUUGUCGGGAGGAAGCGGAUGGAGACCGGCGAUGCGCCCCGUAGUAUGUGGAACGGUGAGAGCCGGUCCGCCGAUCUACUCGGGGCGCAGACCAGCGAGGAUU